AUUGAACGCUGGCGGCGUGCCUAACACAUGCAAGUCGAGCGGCAGCGCGGGGCAACCUGGCGGCGAGCGGCGGACGGGUGAGUAACGCUUGAGAAUCUGCCUAUUAGUGGGGGACAACCCGGGGAAACUCGGGCUAAUACCGCAUACGCACUACGGUGGGAAGCCGGGGACCGCAAGGCCUGGCGCUAAUAGAUGAGCUCAAGUCGGAUUAGCUAGUUGGUAGGGUAACGGCCUACCAAGGCGACAAUCCGUAGCUGGUCUGAGAGGACGACCAGCCACACCGGAACUGAGACACGGUCCGGACUCCUACGGGAGGCAGCAGUGGGGAAUAUUGGACAAUGGGCGAAAGCCUGAUCCAGCGACGCCGCGUGGGUGAAGAAGGCCUGCGGGUUGUAAAGCCCUUUCGGUGGGGAAGAAAUGCUUCGAGCUAAUACCUCGGGGCUUUGACGUAACCCACAGAAGAAGCACCGGCUAACUCUGUGCCAGCAGCCGCGGUAAUAC
rnacentral:rRNA from 1 species